rnacentral:rRNA from 1 species
UAAAGCGUGCGCAGGCGGUUAUGUAAGACAGAUGUGAAAUCCCCGGGCUCAACCUGGGAACUGCAUUAGUGACUGCAUAGCUGGAGUACGGCAGAGGGGGAUGGAAUUCCGCGUGUAGCAGUGAAAUGCGUAGAUAUGCGGAGGAACACCGAUGGCGAAGGCAAUCCCCUGGGCCUGUACUGACGCUCAUGCACGAAAGCGUGGGGAGCAAACAGGAUUAGAUACCCUGU